AUGUACCCGCCCCGGCACAGGCUUCUGAUUCAACCGACGGUCAGGGCCGCGGCCGGCGCCGACGCGUUCUUCGUUAGCCAGUAUUUCGAGCGGACCGUCACGCUCCGGUGGCGCGAGGAGGAGGAGUGGUCCGAGCAGAAUCUGCUCCUGCCGGAAGAGUUCACAAGGAGCGAUGCCAUCGACCUGGUGGCCUACAGCGGCGGCAUCUUCUACGCCAUGGAGUUCUUCGGCUUCACCCACACCGUGGACACGCGUGCGCCGCCGCCGUGGCGCCUGACGAGGCUCCGUGCGCCGAGCAUUCUCGAGCAGUACUCCCCGAUCUGCCGGUACCGCUACCUCCGGAACUCUCACCUGCUCGAGUCGGAAGGGAAGAUCAUGUUUGUGGGUCCAGUGCUCACACCAGAUGAACCCCUUUGCCCCAAGACCAUCAGAGGCUUCGAGGUGUACAAGCUUGAUCUUGAGCGGUCACGAUGGGCGAAAGUGGAGAGGCUCGCCGAUGACCGGGCGCUGUUCGUGAGCCCGCAGUCGUCGUUCUCAGUGCGUGCAUCGGAGACGCCGGGGUGCAGGGGCAACUGCAUCUACUUUGUGAGCGAAUUCGACGAAACCUACAUCCAGGACACUUGGGGUGUGUAUUCCAUGGAGGAGCAGAAGGUGCUGUUUCAACGCCCCGUCGGUGGUUCGCCGGGAAAGUACAAAGCUGCACGGUGGUUCUUCCCUAGGGCCGGUGCAUCACCAGCGCGCACAAACUGUGCAAACUCUGGAAAGAAGAGAAAUUUCCAAAUGCUCUAG
rnacentral:rRNA from 1 species